AUUGAACGCUGGCGGCAGGCUUAACACAUGCAAGUCGAGCGGGGAAGAGUAGCUUGCUCCUUGACCUAGCGGCGGACGGGUGAGUAAUGCUUAGGAAUCUGCCUAUUAGUGGGGGACAACAUCUCGAAAGGGAUGCUAAUACCGCAUACGUCCUACGGGAGAAAGCAGGGGACCUUCGGGCCUUGCGCUAAUAGAUGAGCCUAAGUCGGAUUAGCUAGUUGGUGGGGUAAAGGCCUACCAAGGCGACGAUCUGUAGCGGGUCUGAGAGGAUGAUCCGCCACACUGGGACUGAGACACGGCCCAGACUCCUACGGGAGGCAGCAGUGGGGAAUAUUGGACAAUGGGGGGAACCCUGAUCCAGCCAUGCCGCGUGUGUGAAGAAGGCCUUUUGGUUGUAAAGCACUUUAAGCGAGGAGGAGGCUACCGAGAUUAAUACUCUUGGAUAGUGGACGUUACUCGCAGAAUAAGCACCGGCUAACUCUGUG
rnacentral:rRNA from 1 species